UACAGAGGGUGCGAGCGUUGUCCGGAAUCACUGGGCGUAAAGGGCGCGUAGGUGGUGGCUUAAGCGUGCGGUGAAAGCUCGGAGCUCAACCCCGAGUCGGCCGUGCGAACUGGGCUCACUGGAGCAUAGUAGAGGCAGGUGGAAUUCCGGGUGUAGCGGUGGAAUGCGUAGAGAUCCGGAAGAACACCGGUGGCGAAGGCGGCCUGCUGGGCUAUGGCUGACACUGAGGCGCGACAGCGUGGGGAGCAAACAGG
rnacentral:rRNA from 1 species